AACUCACCCAAAUUUUCAUUUAUAGAUUGGAUAUGGAUUAUUUUCGUUGACACACAGAAGUCUGUGUGCCAGGCUGCUCUCAGGGGAGGGCACCCAGCAGAGGGACCGGAACAGGAGGCAGGCUCGGUGGAGGCCCAGAGCAGUGUGGCCGCUUGUCACCCGCCCAUCCACACUCUUCCAGAAAAGAUUUAAGGACAGGCCCUCCCCGCCGCUCCCCCCUCAAGUUCUCUUCCUUUCUCCUCCUCCCUCACCUGCCUCACUUCCCCACAGUUCCCUAGAAGCUAGCUUAAAGCCAGGCCCCUGGGGGAGACGACGAGGGGGCAAGAUGAAGAUGGAGGGAGGGUGACAUGGGCCAUCAAGGAUGAUGUUGGGAGACCGGGGGACUCUGGAGGGGGUGCCUUGCCUCUUAGCACCAAGGAAAUCGGUUCUGGGAGGCGACCCUGCUCCCACAGACCCGUUUGACUUGAAGCACCUCAUCCUGGCCUAGAUUCCCCAUCUGCUUGUGCUAAACCCCACAUCCCCCAGGGGGCUGUGGGGCACCAGGCCCACUCCCUCACGAGUCAGGAGUGCGGGCCCCAGGGCCCGAGGCCGCCCCUUGCCCACGGCGGUGGAUCCGAUGAGCGGAGCACUCUGUCAGCCUCCUCGCAUCCACCCCCACCAGCCUCACCCAACCCCCUCCCCACUCCCUUUCUGAGGUUCCCCCUCAGAGUCCCCAACUUCCUGGCAAAGGUUCUCCAGCUAGGCUCUCCCAAGAAAGCCGUCCACGGCCGGAUGGGAAUGUUUCCAGCUCACGGUGAGGCUCUGAGGAGAGACACUAAGAUGGUUCUCCUCUGUGCUCAGGUACUCACUCUCCCUGGGGCCUCACUGUCGGCAGAGCUCAGCCCCUGGGGAGCGUCCCUGGUGUCCAGCAUCACAGCACAGGCCAGCUUGGCUUAAAGGAAAGUGUCGCUUUUAUUGGCUUUUCAGAGAGAAAACUAAAUUAUCCAUCCAAUUCAAAAGUGGAAAACUUCCAUUCAUAUAAAAAUUCUUUCAUAGCAGAUUGGGGGCUGGGGCUGGGGAAUGGGAAGUGACAGCUUAAUGGGUACGAGGCUCCCUUUUGGGUUGAUGAAAAUGGAACUAGAUAGGGAUGGCAGUGGUACAACAUUUGACUAUCCUAAAUGCCUCUGAAUUGUUCACUUUAAGAUGGCUGUUUUUAUGUUGUGUGAAUUUCACCUCAAAAAAAUUAUUCCUUUCUUUUCAACGAAAAUGGAGCGUUGACUGUGUUUCACAUACUGUUGAAUGUCCUGGGGACAUAUUGACGAGGAAGACGCCCAAGAUGCCCACCCCACAGAGCAUAAGGUCUAGUGAAACAUACAGCGUUCAGUGGAACUAAGCCGAGAAACGCAUCGCAGUUCCAUCUCUGCUAAGCUGCUGGCAGAAUGAUGUUGAAAAGAGAAGAUCGAGAGAGCAGGAGUCCUGGGUGCCCGGAAUUACUCUGGAAGACGAAUGUGUGAUCUGGGCACAGAGCCGCUGUGACCUUCAGAAUGGCUGUGCCAGCACGUCCAGGGCUGGAGGACCAGGCUGGGGUCUGCACAGACCUCCUGUGAAAGACACUGCAGAAGGCAGCCCGUGGACGGGGUGGACGUGUUUGCGGCAUCCAACAAAGGUACACAGUUGUAUAUUCUUCGUUGUGGGUCCUUCUAGUUGUGGCGU